CCUGGCUCAGAUUGAACGCUGGCGGCAGGCCUAACACAUGCAAGUCGAGCGGAUGAAGGGAGCUUGCUCCUGGAUUCAGCGGCGGACGGGUGAGUAAUGCCUAGGAAUCUGCCUGGUAGUGGGGGAUAACGUCCGGAAACGGGCGCUAAUACCGCAUACGUCCUGAGGGAGAAAGUGGGGGAUCUUCGGACCUCACGCUAUCAGAUGAGCCUAGGUCGGAUUAGCUAGUUGGUGGGGUAAAGGCCUACCAAGGCGACGAUCCGUAACUGGUCUGAGAGGAUGAUCAGUCACACUGGAACUGAGACACGGUCCAGACUCCUACGGGAGGCAGCAGUGGGGAAUAUUGGACAAUGGGCGAAAGCCUGACCAGCCAUGCCGCGUGUG
rnacentral:rRNA from 1 species